rnacentral:rRNA from 1 species
UACGUAGGGUGCAAGCGUUGUCCGGAAUUAUUGGGCGUAAAGAGCUCGUAGGCGGUCUGUCGCGUCUGCUGUGAAACUCAGGGCUUAACCCUGAGCUUGCAGUGGGUACGGGCAGACUAGAGUGCGGUAGGGGAGACUGGAAUUCCGUGGUGUAGCGGUGAAAUGCGCAGAUAGUCAGGGAGGGAACACCGGUGGCGAAG